AGAGCCGCAGUCUCUUGGUUUUGGUCUCCUGGGAGUCGCUGUGUUUGUUUUGCUUCUUGCCACCCUGGCGCUGGCUGUUGCAUAUAUUCAAUCAUCUCGGAUGGAAAUGAAGGGGAGGUUUGGUAGCAGCAGGUUUUGAAACUCAAUGUCUAUUGCAGCGGUCCUGUCAGCUCUCAGGUAUGCUUAAGAAUGAUCCGCCAUCAUAGAAUAGAAGAAUGUUCCAGAAGCUCUCGGAGAGGGACAACAGUAAAGGGACAUUGUGGUCAAUGAGGAUUCCCCACGGACAACACACCUUGACUGAAAGACCUGGAGAUUAGCAUUGCCAGCAUUUGAAAACAUCUGGGUGAA